AGCAUAAUCAUUAGUUUAUUAAUUGUAAACUUGUAUGAAUGGUUGGACGAAAUAUUAACUGUCUAUAUUUUAUUAUUAUAAUUUAAAUUUUUAGUUAAAAUGCUUAAAUUUUUUUAUAGGACGAGAAGACCCUAUAGAUCUUUAUUAUUUUAUUUAUUUAUUUAUUUAGUUUAUUUAUUAUAUAUAAUUAUUAUAUUUUUGUUGGGGUGACAUUGAGAUAAUUAUAACUCUUUAUUUUAUUAUUCAUUUAUUUAUGUUUAUUUGACCUUUUAUUAAUGUUAUAAGAUUAAGAUACCUUAGGGAUAACAGCGUAAUUCAUUUUUAGAGUUCAUAUCGACAAAGGAGAUUGCGACCUCG
rnacentral:rRNA from 1 species